CCCCCCCCAGGCUAAAGCACUUAAAUAUCAUCACAUACAUGCCAUCACACAUAAAGCAUCACUCGUGCAUCAUUACGUGCACACUAUCAGCGCACACCAUCAAAUACACACCAUCACACACACAUCGUCACGUAAAGCCUGUCGCACACAUGCCAUGUGCACCUAUCACGCCAUGUCAUACACACUGUUACAUGCACACCGUCGCAGACACACUGUGACGUACACACCAUUACACGCACAGCGUCACAUAGACACCAUUACACACUCACUGUCACAGACACACUGUUACGUAGACACCGUUACAUGCAUACCAUCACAUACGCAGCGUUAUACACACACAGACACACUGUGAGGUACACACCAUCACAGACACACUCUCAGGUACACACCAUCGCAGACACACUGUGAGGUACACACCAUCGCAGACACACUGUGAGGUACACACCAUCGCAGACACACUGUGAGGUACACACCAUCGCAGACACACUCUCAGGUACACACCAUCGCAGACACACUGUGAGGUACACACCAUCGCAGACACACUGUGAGGUACACACCAUCGCUGACACACUGUGAGGUACACACCAUCGCAGACACACUGUGAGGUACACACCAUCGCAGACACACUGUGAGGUACACACCAUCGCAGACACACUGUGAGGUACACACCAUCGCAGACACACUGUGAGGUACACACCAUCGCAGACACACUGUGAGGUACACACCAUCGCAGACACACUGUGAGGUACACACCAUCGCAGACACACUCUCAGGUACACACCAUCGCAGACACACUGUGAGGUACACACCAUCGCAGACACACUGUGAGGUACACACCAUCGCUGACACACUGUGAGGUACACACCAUCGCAGACACACUGUGAGGUACACACCAUCGCAGACACACUGUGAGGUACACACCAUCGCAGACACACUCUCAGGUACACACCAUCGCAGACACACUGUGAGGUACACACCAUCGCUGACACACUGUGAGGUACACACCAUCGCAGACACACUGUGAGGUACACACCAUCGCAGAC